GAGUUUCGGAGCACGACAAAGAAAAAAAAAAUUCCUAUUUUUCACAGAAGCUUUCGGAUCCGAAAGGGUUUUGGGUUUUCACUCUGCGAUGCCCAUAGUUCUAAGUGUUUUUGGUCUCCUAUUCGAAACUGUUAUCGAACUCUGAACUCGCUCGAUUCAACUUUGUUAAAUUGGAUUCUUGCUCUUGGCCAUGUACAGUGGGUCCAUCGAUGGCGAGAGCCAUGAGGCCGCUCAGAGGAAGAUCCCACCGGCCUCGUCAAUGUUGUGGGUCCGAAAUCUGCGCCGGUAUAUCGGAUCCGGUGUCGGACUGGGAUCUGAAGCCCUAAUGGAGCUCGAGACAAAGAGGAUCUUGCUUGAUAUUUUCAAAGAGAAGCAACAAAGAAGUGCUGAAGCGGCCACAGUACCUAGUUUUUAUAAGAAGAAACCUGAAGAAGGGUCAAUCAGUCACAGGGUCCAAAGGUUAGCAAAAUAUCGAUUUUUAAAGAAACAAUCAGAUAUUUUGCUUAAUGCUGAUGAUCUGGAUGCCAUGUGGGUGUGCUUGAGAGAGAACUGUGUUAUUGAUGAUGCUACUGGUGCUGAAAAGGUCUGUGAGAAUUGCAGAUAUGGACAUACUUGCAGCAUUUAUGUAACGGAUACACUGACAAUAGGUGUGUUUCAUGCCAUGGGUAAAUUUUAUGUAAUUGUUCAUUCAUCAUGGAUUUAUGCAAUGCAAAUGGGUAAAUUUUAGCAAAGGAAAUGAAAUCAAUGCAAAAUUAUACUGCAGGUUUUGUACGGAUGGAUCAUUGUGUAAAUAAACCAUGCUUGUUAUUGAAUAUCUAAAAUCUAUUUGCUGAUCAUUUAGAAUGAUUUAGCCUGACGCAAUCAAAUCUGCCAUUCUGACCACAGCUAAAUCCAUGAGUGCGAGAAUUAACAGCGAAGCAGAAUUUGCCUAUGGUGCUGGUCAAGUAAAUCCAACAAGAGCUAGAAGCCCUCAGCAGCUUUGACACCAAGAUUGCUUGUGAAUGACGAUAUGAUCAAACAGGUGCAAAGUUUGAAGAUGAUGGUUCUGAUACAAUAGAAAGAGGUUGCUGCUUGUAAUGUGGGCAAAGGUUGCAUAUGGAGCAUAAUUUUGCGAAGUAAAUGGAAAUUAGAGGCUGCAGCUUUUGAUUCUUUGGCUUUUGAAGUCAAUCAGUUGAAUUGAAAACCGUUAACUUGGAAGCUUUAGAACACUGGAACUUUGUCAUCCGCAGUUCCCUGUAAAUUUUGCUUUGUACGUAAUAAUAAUAUUUUUUAAGUUUAUCUGCAUUUUCAAUGCU